CAUGCUCAUAUCUCUUUGUCCUUUUCGUAACUUUACUUAUUGAAGAAACCAGAAAUGAUAGCCACAAAAUAUCCUCAUUGCCUUAAUUAAAGAGAUUCACGCUUUGGCCAACCUUGCAAAGUAAAAGUUGGUUGAGUUCGUUUACUGGCAAUGAGCCAAUUACCAACGGUUUUGUCCAGCAAAAGCAAUAAAAGACAACAAUAAAUCAUGGGUUUCAACUCCAAUACAUCUUUUGAAAGAAAAAAGAAGAAAAAGUUUAACUAAUGAAUCCAGAGAGAGACCUGCAGUCUCUUGCCACCGUAUCCGUAUGCCACCUGCCACUUUCAGACUGCCACCACCCUAUGGAAGCAUCCUUCCGAAGCAGCGAUCCAAUCUGACCUCAAUAUAGUGAACGAAGGCACCUAUAUCACAUCCAAUUGUAUCUUAAGCUUCACUACUCCCAUUUGCUCUUUAAUCAACCACAUUAAUAAAGGUUUGGUUGAUUU